AAUGAACGCUGGCGGCAGGCCUAACACAUGCAAGUCGAACGGAUCCUUCGGGAUUAGUGGCGGACGGGUGAGUAACGCGUGGGAACAUACCCAAAGGUACGGAAUAGCCUCGGGAAACUGGGAGUAAUACCGUAUGUGCUCGAAAGAGGAAAGAUUUAUCGCCUUUGGAUUGGCCCGCGUUGGAUUAGGUAGUUGGUGGGGUAAUGGCCUACCAAGCCGACGAUCCAUAGCUGGUUUGAGAGGAUGAUCAGCCACACUGGGACUGAGACACGGCCCAGACUCCUACGGGAGGCAGCAGUGGGGAACCUUAGACAAUGGGGGAAACCCUGAUCUAGCCAUGCCGCGUGAUCGAUGAAGGCCUUAGGGUUGUAAAGAUCUUUCAGGUGGGAAGAUAAUGACUGCACCACCAGAAGAAGCCCCGGCUAACUCCGUGCCAGCAGCCGCCGUAA
rnacentral:rRNA from 1 species